CUCUUUGCCUGGGCGUGGCUGGGACAACGGUCGUGAAGAAGAGACCGUUAACAGAACGGGGGCGUGGCAAAGUCUGGAUGGGAGGAGAGUAAUUAGGAGACUCCAGCAUUGGGGAAGGGGUGACAGUGAGGAUGCCCCAACGUUGGGGAGGGAGCACUGUCAGUGGGGAGGUAAAGAGGAGCCCUAGCUUAGGAGUGGGGCACUGGCAAUGGAGAUGGGGGGUAAUGGGGAAGCCUGAGCAUUGAGUGCGACUACUGGCGGUUAAGGUGGGGUUAAGGGGCCUCUACCAGCAAUAGCAAAGGUAAUGAGGGGUAUCAGCACUGAGCAGAAGGGACUGUAGAUUAAAGAGAGUACUUGGUAGGGUGGAGCUGUGGACAGUGUCAGCACUUGAUGGGGCCAGUUGAGCAGGUCAAACCUAAGAGUGCUGUGGCAGCAGAGCUAAAGAAAGGGGAAAGUGGGGAACUUACCCAAAAGACUACAUUGGCAUCAGCAGUUGUCAGGAGUUUGGUAAUUUGACACAACAGGAUGAGGAAAGCAGGGGGAGCCACAGCAUUAAGGUACUGUGGUAUGAGGAGGAGCUCAGGGUAUGAGAGGAGUGCAGGCAUCAAGGGAGGAGGCUGAGGAGUAUAAGGAAAUGCUGAAAAAAGCUGCUCAGUCACCUUGGGUGUUGUCAGACAUGCUUGCUGCCCAUGAAUCAAAGAUGAGCAACCAGAGUUUCAGAUUACUUAUGUGCAGGUU